UUAAGCGACUAAGCGUACACGGUGGAUGCCCUGGCAGUCAGAGGCGAUGAAGGACGUGCUAAUCUGCGAAAAGCGUCGGUAAGGUGAUAUGAACCGUUAUAACCGGCGAUGUCCGAAUGGGGAAACCCAGUGUGAUUCGUCACACUAUCGUUAACUGAAUACAUAGGUUAACGAGGCGAACCGGGGGAACUGAAACAUCUAAGUACCCCGAGGAAAAGAAAUCAACCGAGAUUCCCCCAGUAGCGGCGAGCGAACGGGGAGCAGCCCAGAGUCUGAAUCAGCUUGUGUGUUAGUGGAACGGUCUGGAAAGUCCGACGGUACAGGGUGAUAGUCCCGUACACCAAAAUGCACAGGCUGUGAACUCGAAGAGUAGGGCGGGACACGUGGUAUCCUGUCUGAAUAUGGGGGGACCAUCCUCCAAGGCUAAAUACUCCUGACUGACCGAUAGUGAACCAGUACCGUGAGGGAAAGGCGAAAAGAACCCCGGCGAGGGGAGUGAAAAAGAACCUGAAACCGUGUACGUACAAGCAGUGGGAGCACCUUUAUGGUGUGACUGCGUACCUUUUGUAUAAUGGGUCAGCGACUUAUAUUCUGUAGCAAGGUUAACCGUAUAGGGGAGCCGCAGGGAAACCGAGUCUUAACUGGGCGUUAAGUUGCAGGGUAUAGACCCGAAACCCGGUGAUCUAGCCAUGGGCAGGUUGAAGGUUGGGUAACACUAACUGGAGGACCGAACCGACUAAUGUUGAAAAAUUAGCGGAUGACUUGUGGCUGGGGGUGAAAGGCCAAUCAAACCGGGAGAUAGCUGGUUCUCCCCGAAAGCUAUUUAGGUAGCGCCUCGUGAAUUCAUCUUCGGGGGUAGAGCACUGUUUCGGCUAGGGGGUCAUCCCGACUUACCAACCCGAUGCAAACUACGAAUACCGAAGAAUGUUAUCACGGGAGACACACGGCGGGUGCUAACGUCCGUCGUGAAGAGGGAAACAACCCAGACCGCCAGCUAAGGUCCCAAAGUCAUGGUUAAGUGGGAAACGAUGUGGGAAGGCACAGACAGCCAGGAUGUUGGCUUAGAAGCAGCCAUCAUUUAAAGAAAGCGUAAUAGCUCACUGGUCGAGUCGGCCUGCGCGGAAGAUGUAACGGGGCUAAACCAUGCACCGAAGCUGCGGCAGCGACACUAUGUGUUGUUGGGUAGGGGAGCGUUCUGUAAGCCUGCGAAGGUGACCUGUGAGGGUUGCUGGAGGUAUCAGAAGUGCGAAUGCUGACAUAAGUAACGAUAAAGCGGGUGAAAAGCCCGCUCGCCGGAAGACCAAGGGUUCCUGUCCAACGUUAAUCGGGGCAGGGUGAGUCGACCCCUAAGGCGAGGCCGAAAGGCGUAGUCGAUGGGAAACAGGUUAAUAUUCCUGUACUUGGUGUUACUGCGAAGGGGGGACGGAGAAGGCUAUGUUAGCCGGGCGACGGUUGUCCCGGUUUAAGCAUGUAGGCUGGUUAUCCAGGCAAAUCCGGAUAAUCAAGGCUGAGGUGUGAUGACGAGGCACUACGGUGCUGAAGUAACAAAUGCCCUGCUUCCAGGAAAAGCCUCUAAGCAUCAGGUAACAUCAAAUCGUACCCCAAACCGACACAGGUGGUCAGGUAGAGAAUACCAAGGCGCUUGAGAGAACUCGGGUGAAGGAACUAGGCAAAAUGGUGCCGUAACUUCGGGAGAAGGCACGCUGGUGUGUAGGUGAAGUCCCUGCGGAUGGAGCUGAGACCAGUCGAAGAUACCAGCUGGCUGCAACUGUUUAUUAAAAACACAGCACUGUGCAAACACGAAAGUGGACGUAUACGGUGUGACGCCUGCCCGGUGCCGGAAGGUUAAUUGAUGGGGUUAUCCGUAAGGAGAAGCUCUUGAUCGAAGCCCCGGUAAACGGCGGCCGUAACUAUAACGGUCCUAAGGUAGCGAAAUUCCUUGUCGGGUAAGUUCCGACCUGCACGAAUGGCGUAAUGAUGGCCAGGCUGUCUCCACCCGAGACUCAGUGAAAUUGAACUCGCUGUGAAGAUGCAGUGUACCCGCGGCAAGACGGAAAGACCCCGUGAACCUUUACUAUAGCUUGACACUGAACAUUGAGCCUUGAUGUGUAGGAUAGGUGGGAGGCUUUGAAGCGUGGACGCCAGUCUGCGUGGAGCCAACCUUGAAAUACCACCCUUUAAUGUUUGAUGUUCUAACGUGGGCCCCUGACCGGGGUUGCGGACAGUGUCUGGUGGGUAGUUUGACUGGGGCGGUCUCCUCCCAAAGCGUAACGGAGGAGCACGAAGGUUAGCUAAUCCUGGUCGGACAUCAGGAGGUUAGUGCAAUGGCAUAAGCUAGCUUGACUGCGAGCGUGACGGCGCGAGCAGGUGCGAAAGCAGGUCAUAGUGAUCCGGUGGUUCUGAAUGGAAGGGCCAUCGCUCAACGGAUAAAAGGUACUCCGGGGAUAACAGGCUGAUACCGCCCAAGAGUUCAUAUCGACGGCGGUGUUUGGCACCUCGAUGUCGGCUCAUCACAUCCUGGGGCUGAAGUAGGUCCCAAGGGUAUGGCUGUUCGCCAUUUAAAGUGGUACGCGAGCUGGGUUUAGAACGUCGUGAGACAGUUCGGUCCCUAUCUGCCGUGGGCGCUGGAGAAUUGAGGGGGGCUGCUCCUAGUACGAGAGGACCGGAGUGGACGCAUCACUGGUGUUCGGGUUGUCAUGCCAAUGGCACUGCCCGGUAGCUAAAUGCGGAAGAGAUAAGUGCUGAAAGCAUCUAAGCACGAAACUUGCCCCGAGAUGAGUUCUCCCUGAGACUUUAAGUCUCCUGAAGGAACGUUAAAGACGAUGACGUUGAUAGGCCGGGUGUGUAAGCGCAGCGAUGCGUUGAGCUAACCGGUACUAAUGAACCGUGAGGCUUAACCUU
rnacentral:rRNA from 1 species